AAGGUCUUCGGAUCGUAAAACUCUGUUAUUAGGGAAGAACAAAUGUGUAAGUAACUAUGCACGUCUUGACGGUACCUAAUCAGAAAGCCACGGCUAACUACGUGCCAGCAGCCGCGGUAAUACGUAGGUGGCAAGCGUUAUCCGGAAUUAUUGGGCGUAAAGCGCGCGUAGGCGGUUUUUUAAGUCUGAUGUGAAAGCCCACGGCUCAACCGUGGAGGGUCAUUGGAAACUGGAAAACUUGAGUGCAGAAGAGGAAAGUGGAAUUCCAUGUGUAGCGGUGAAAUGCGCAGAGAUAUGGAGGAACACCAGUGGCGAAGGCGACUUUCUGGUCUGUAACUGACGCUGAUGUGCGAAAGCGUGGGGAUCAAACAGGAUUAGAUACCCCUGGUAGUCCACGCCGUAAACGAUGAGUGCUAAGUGUUUAGGGGGGUUUCCGCCCCCUUAGUGCUGCAGCUAACGCAUUAAGCACUCCGCCCUGGGGGAGUACGACCGCAAGGGUUGAAAACUCAAAAGGGAAUUUGA
rnacentral:rRNA from 1 species